UACGUAGGGGCCUAGCGUUGUCCGGAUUUAUUGGGCGUAAAGAGCUCGUAGGCGGUUCGGUAAGUCAGGUGUGAAAUCUCCACGCUCAACGUGGAGGCGCCACCUGAAACUGCCGUGACUCGAGUCCGGUAGGGGAGUGUGGAAUUCCCGGUGGUAGCGGUGAAAUGCGCAGAUAUCAGGAAGAACACCCGUGGCGAAGGCGGCUCUCUGGGACGGUACUGACGCUGAGACGCGAAAGCGUGGGGAGCGAACAGG
rnacentral:rRNA from 1 species